rnacentral:lncRNA from 1 species
ACUUUAUUUACGUUAGUUCAUCUUUAAGUCUAACCUAGAGCAGUAUCCAUGUUUUCUUUCAAAUCCAGAGACAUGCUUAAAAAACUUCCAUUACAAUUAACAGCAUCAAAGACAGCUCAACAGCAAAAGCUUCAUGGAGCUCUCAACAGGCAGCAGUUAGAACCAGUAUCAGCCAUUGAACAAGUAAACAGUCUGAAACAACAGCUCUGCAAGUCUGAAGAACAGUGCCAACAGCAGGACCAGCAAAGGCAUAUUGUCUGGCUGAACAGCACUUCAUAGAAUUGGAAAAGGAGGCGAAGAACUUCAGACGCAAACAGAGAAAUGAUGCUCAAAUGGUAUGCAUUCUUGUAUUUGAGAUCCUGUUUGUAUUAUAUUGAGAAAUACUG